AGCAUUUAAUACAAUGAUGUUUUCAUUCAAUUAAUGCAUUGUUUAACAUUUGUUUUUCCUUUGUUUUCACUUUUUGCUUUUCUGCAUGAAAUCAGUGAUCACAAAAAACCAUAAAAACAAAAAAAGAGGAGCAAACAUUUUUUCAUCUGCAUAAUGGUUUGCUUGUUUAAAUGCUAAAAUUUUUUCCUUAACCAAAAUCAUUAUGCAGAUUGAUCCUAAAACCCAUUGAACAUAAUGAUCCAACGCCAUCUCCCAAUUUUGAAUUCCCUGUAUUU
rnacentral:lncRNA from 1 species